CUACUUCCGGGGCCAAGGAUGACGGGAGGAGGGAGAGCGGGAUCCGCCGGUGGGAAAAUGGCGGCCUAGCGACCGCGCCGACUCUCCUUCCCUCCCUCCCUCAUGCGCCUCCUUCCCCUCCUCCCGGUCAGGGCCUGGCGGCGGCUGUGCGUGUGCGGGGGGAGAGCGGCGCGGGGCGGUUCCGGUCACCCUCUGGCCUCGAUUCUUACACAACAGCCUUUAAGGUUCUUGCCUGGCAGAGACGGGUGGACAGUGAACUUGCCUUUUUUAGCAUGGUCUUUGACUUCCUACAGGCCUGGACUCUUUAAGACUUUUCAGUUAACACGCUGUACCUGUAUAUUUGUCACAUGCAAAUGUUUUUUUACUUCGUCUGGGAGGGUGAGCUGUGAAGAUAAUAAACAGAAUGGUCCUAGUCACCUUCAGAGUAAAGACCAAAGAGAUUGGGGCAACAGGCCUAUGCCCUUCCCACCACUUCCAACCACUUGCUGUAUGAGUGGCUGCCAAAAUUGUGUGUGGGUCACGUACGCAGAGGAGUUGAUGAAGAAUUUCCGGAUGGAGGAGAGAAGGCCCU